rnacentral:misc_RNA from 1 species
GAUGAAGAACGCAGCGAAAUGCGAUAAGUAAUGUGAAUUGCAGAAUUCAGUGAAUCAUCGAAUCUUUGAACGCACAUUGCGCCCGCCAGUAUUCUGGCGGGCAUGCCUGUUCGAGCGUCAUUUCAACCCUUAAGCCUAGCUUAGUAUUGGGAAUCGACUUUACUGUCGUUCCUCAAAUUCAACGGCGGAUUUAUAGCAAUCUCUGAACGUAGUAAUUUUUUUCCUCGUUUUUGAAAUACUAUAAACCUCAGCCGCUAAACCCCCAAUUUUUCUAUGGUUGACCUCGGAUCAGGUAGGAAUACCCGCUGAACUUAAGCAUAUCAAUAAGCGGAGGA